AUCUGAUGUAAUGGUUUGAAUGUUGGACUAGGACUCUAAGAGUCCAGGGUUCGAAUCCCUGCUCAGUCA